ACCAGAAGAACAACCCUAAAAAGAGAAGAAAAAUCUCUCGCUGCAAUAAUUGUUUUUCCUCCUUUUUCUUUCAUCUUCUUCUUCCCCGCUCCACUUUUUCAUUGUUUCAUAAUUUCUGAAUAUCACAGAAUUUGACAGAAGAGAGUGAGCACACAGCGGCGGUGCCCGCAUCGCAGAAUGCUGUCCGCGUUGCGUGCUCACCUCUCUCUCUGUCAGACUGUUUUAUCCAGUCAUGUUAAUUUUCUCUUUACCUUUCUGCACCAUCUUUCCAUUUUCUCGCAAAACAAAACAAAGAAAAGCUGGAGAAGAUGAUAAAGAGCAUGUGAAGAAGCGGAUUUUGUUAUGUUUGGAUGGUUGGAGCAGUUGGAGUGGCUGUGCCCGGACAUAUCAGGCACGAAUUUCAAUUCAAUCGGUAUUAUUACGCUUUUCGAGACGGAGGGUAUGAAUUUUUAUUCGUGCAUAUCCAUUGGCGUGUCUUUUGAGAAGGUAGUCGGUCAGCUGAUACUGCAAAGGUACAGUAGAGAGGGGAUGAAGCUGCUGCUGCAUCGGAAUGUCUUGUAUUGUUUCAUGGAUCGACCGGUGUAGCAGGAACAAUUGUACUUUGACAUUAGUGGCAGAAGUUAUGGCCAUAACGUAACAACUUGGAGUGGACUUCAUGACUUGCUUCUUUUACUGUUGCAUUUUAUUGGUAUCGUGUCUAAAGUAAGCUAAUCACUUAUCUCGAUCUCCCGUCAUUUAAUUGGAUGGCUUAUCUAAUCAUAUCAAUGAUUAGAUAAGAAGUUCAGAUUUGAACUAGGAGUGUAAUCAAUGCUCUUCACGGUUUCAUAGAUACCUUGGUUAACCGGGAUGAACUCGAGGCCAAGGUCCUUCAGCUUCUGGUUGGAGAACUUGAAUGCCUUUUUCCUUGGGUUUAUCUCAUCAGAGCACCUGCACAAAUAUUAAUGCCAGAAGGUAAAGAUUUCUGAUAUUUUUUUAAGGAUGGAAAUUCAAUUUCAAGCCACAUAUAUCCGACUGAUUAUAAAGAUUCAUUGGAUCAGGCUGUCAUAAAUUGUAUUUGUUAAAAGUUAGGGCACGAGCUACUAAAAUUAGAGUCAUUGUUAUGAACAAUUUUGUGUUUGCU